rnacentral:rRNA from 1 species
AUUGAACGCUGGCGGCAGGCCUAACACAUGCAAGUCGAGCGGCGCGGCGGACGGGGGAGUAAAGCCUAGGAAUCUGCCUGGUAGUGGGGGAUAACGUCCGGAAACGGGCGCUAAUACCGCAUACUAUCAGAUGAACCUAGGUCGGAUUAGCUGGUGGGUGGGGUAACGGCCUACCAAGGCGACUAGCCGUAACUGCUAUGAGAGGAGGAUCAGUCACACUGGAACGGGGACACGGUCCAGAUUCCUACGGUAGGCAGCAGGGGGGAAUAUUGGACAAGGGGCGAAAGCCUGAUCCAGCCAUGCGGCGUGUGUGAAGAAGGUCUUCGGAUUGUAAAGCACUUUAAGUUGGGAGGCGGUACCAACAGAAUAAGCACCGGCUAACUUCGUGCCAGCAGCCGCGGUAAUUC